rnacentral:rRNA from 1 species
CCUACGGGAGGCAGCAGUAGGGAAUUUUCGGCAAUGGGGGGAACCCUGACCGAGCAACGCCGCGUGAACGAAGAAGUACUUCGGUAUGUAAAGUUCUUUUAUUUGGGAAGAAAAGGAAAAAGAUUGACGGUACCAAAAGAAUAAGCUCCGGCUAACUACGUGCCAGCAGCCGCGGUAAUACGUAGGGAGCGAGCGUUAUCCGGAAUUAUUGGGCGUAAAGGGUGCGUAGACGGGGAAUAUAGUCGUUUGUAAAAAUGCUAAGCUCAACUUAGUAGGGCAAACGAUACUGUAGACCUAGAGUACAGCAGAGGCAAGUGGAACUUCAUGUGUAGCGGUAAAAUGCGUAAAUAUAUGGAAGAACACCAGUGGCGAAGGCGGCUUGCUGGGCUGAUACUGACGUUGAGACACGAAAGCGUGGGGAGCAAACAGGAUUAGAUACCCGUGUAGUC